GACGAACGCUGGCGGCGCGCUUAACACAUGCAAGUCGAACGGAAAGGCCUGCUUUCCCUUGUGGAUUGCGGGUACUCGAGUGGCGAACGGGUGAGUAACACGUGAGUGAUCUGCCCCCAACUUGGGUAUAAGCCUGGGAAACUGGGUCUAAUUCCCGAUAGGACUGCAGGGUGGUGCCUGUGGUGGAAAACGAUUUUCUAGUGGUUGGGGAUGAGCUCGCGGCCUAUCAGCUUGUUGGUGGGGUAAUGGCCUACCAAGGCGGCGACGGGUAGCCGGCCUGAGAGGGUGGACGGCUACAUUGGGACUGAGAUACGGCCCAGACUCCUACGGGAGGCAGCAGUGGGGAAUAUUGCACAAUGGGCGGAAGCCUGAUGCAGCGACGCCGCGUGGGGGAUGACGGCCUUCGGGUUGUAAACUCCUUUCGACCGCGAGGAAGCCACCUGGUUGGAAGGGUGGUGACGGUAGUGGUAGAAGAAGCACCGGCUAACUACGUG
rnacentral:rRNA from 1 species